rnacentral:misc_RNA from 1 species
GAAAUGCGAUAAGUAAUGUGAAUUGCAGAAUUCAGUGAAUCAUCGAAUCUUUGAACGCACAUUGCGCCCGCCAGUAUUCUGGCGGGCAUGCCUGUUCGAGCGUCAUUACAACCCUCAGGCCCCCGGGCCUGGCGUUGGGGAUCGGCGGAAGCCCCCUGCGGGCACAACGCCGUCCCCCAAAUACAGUGGCGGGCCCGCCGCAGCUUCCAUUGCGUAGUAGCUAACACCUCGCAACUGGAGAGCGGCGCGGCCACGCCGUAAAACACCCAACUUCUGAAUGUUGACCUCGAAUCAGGUAGGAAUACCCGCUGAACUUAAGC